AUUGAACGCUGGCGGCAUGCUUUACACAUGCAAGUCGAACGGUAACAGGCCGCAAGGUGCUGACGAGUGGCGAACGGGUGAGUAAUGCAUCGGAACGUGCCCAGUCGUGGGGGAUAACGCAGCGAAAGCUGCGCUAAUACCGCAUACGAUCUCUGGAUGAAAGCGGGGGACCGAAAGGCCUCGCGCGAUUGGAGCGGCCGAUGUCAGAUUAGGUAGUUGGUGGGGUAAAGGCCCACCAAGCCAACGAUCUGUAGCUGGUCUGAGAGGACGACCAGCCACACUGGGACUGAGACACGGCCCAGACUCCUACGGGAGGCAGCAGUGGGGAAUUUUGGACAAUGGGGGCAACCCUGAUCCAGCAAUGCCGCGUGCAGGAAGAAGGCCUUCGGGUUGUAAACUGCUUUUGUACGGAACGAAACGGCCUGGGUUAAUACCCUGGGCUAAUGACGGUACCGUAAGAAUAAGCACCGGCUAACUACGUGCCAGCAGCCGCCGUAACAC
rnacentral:rRNA from 1 species